rnacentral:misc_RNA from 1 species
GGAGUAAAAGUCGUAACAAGGUCUCCGUAGGUGAACCUGCGGAGGGAUCAUUACAGAGUUCAUGCCCUACCGGGUAGAUCUCCCACCCUAUGUUACUAUUACUUUGUUGCUUUGGCGGGCCGUUAGGCUCCGGCCCGACUACCGGCCCCGGCUGGUAAGCGCCCGCCAGAGGACCCAAAACCCUGAAUAUUAGUGUCGUCUGAGUACUAUAUAAUAGUUAAAACUUUCAACAACGGAUCUCUUGGUUCUG